AUAGGGGGCGCUCAUAUGGCGGUGUGACGUUGUUUCCCAGAACAUGAGGACGUGUUGUACGCACAUGUCCACUAGGUGGCGCUGUUACGUUAUUCCACAAUACGGGAGAACGUAUUGGAGGCUGGAUGUGCGUACUGACGUCAAUCUGUUUAGACGCGUCCCCAUAGAAACGGCGGUUUCUCCUUGUCCGUUGGGCUGUCUCUUCGCUUGGUGUUGCAUCGCCUCCUAGUGUCCUGCUGUGCCGUGAAGUGCAGAUGUUAAGCAAUGACAUUUGAAGACGGAUUAACAUGAAGCACCAGGUCUGUUGUUCCAUAUCUGUUCUGCUUCCCAUUCGGCUACGAAAAGGUUGGCGUAACUCGGCACGAGCCUGGCACCCAUGGCUGUCCCACAUAGAUGACGGUAAAACUGGUGUUCAAACCAGAAAUAGUUAUAUUUCCAAAUAAAAAUUGAUACAUUGCAAAAUGAAAUCCUUCCGAUAUGUUGCAUGUUAUCUCCAUGUUUAAUGCUAUCUCAAUGAGUAGUGUUAUGCCCAUGUUUAAUGCUAUGUCCAUGUUUAAUGUUAUCUCUAUGUGUAAUGUGUGACAGCCAGCAAUACACAAGGGCGCAUACCAUGCAACAGUCAAACAGUGGUUUUUGGGGUUUAAGCGGUUAAAAUAAAGCGGGGAAAAAAACGAGCUGCUGUUCCUGGCUCUAAUUGCCCUAGCGGACUGUGCUUAGGACCCCUAAAAGUGACAUGUAUGCGGGCAAAGCACUGCUAUGGUCUGUGGGCAGAAAGCAGGAACCAACAACAAAAA